UUAUGGAGUAAUACAAACCUUGGCAACCAUGGGAAAGGUAUGGGUUCCCUCUGUAACCCGACUUGCAGUUGCAUCGGUAUCCUGAAACGGAAUUGCUACCUCGCAACACCCAACACCAGAGCAUGACCCAUCGACCACAUUGCGAAGGCUAUUACAUACAGACGUGCACCCGAUCGUGUACCGUUCUCCUUUCUGGAACCCAUGAAGGGAACAAACUUUGGUCAAGCCAAAUGGAUAUGGAAUUUCUACAUCUCCACACUUGUUGGGGCAGCCAUCAGCCGGCUUGACUAGAGAUGCUGCUGCCACCAGUACUGGUGAUAUUAUCAGCCUUAUCAGUGAUAUCCGGACGAGCAUCCCAUGUAAGCCCAUCUCCUCCAACUCUGUUUCUCAGCAAAAAUAGUCUUUUAUUUUCUAUUUUGUGUUUGGAUGUGCUGAAACUUUCUAGCAGUCCUGCACCUUUGGAAAAUAUUAUAUCCUGUAGCGGGAGUAGGAAACCAAAAAUUUGUCCUCCAUCUUUAUAGAAGGGACCAAGGGACACAACCCAACAAUCGAAGAUGCUAUGACUAUCCUUGUUUAAGUUGAAUCUUGAAUCACUUUACUGUCAAAACUCACAGGUACAAUGAACGCAUAGCGGCCUGUAGCAUGGUGUCUUAAUUUGGAUUCAAGUGUCUACUCAAUGUUAUAUUAUUUGCCCAAACAACACACCAAACAAUUUUUAUGUGCAAAAAAGGAUAAGAAUGUACACGUGUGAACCUAGUGCUAGGGGCUUUGAGCAGUUUACAUUGAAGUAGUUCACAGUGCAAAGUAGCAUUCAUCUGUUGUGAUGCUUGUGAUAAACUUCUCAACAGUUUCAGUGCUCGUAUGCACUGAAUCCAAUCGUUUGAUAAGUACAAAGAAAGUCUCAAAAGAAAAAGUAAAGUGGUCUACUGUUCCAAGCUAAAGAGGCUUUAAUAGAUAGCGGCUAGCUGAUUACUAUUAACAGUCGGCCACCAAACUAUUGUGAAAUUUUUUGUUCUUUUUGAUAUUUUAUUUGUGAUGGAAGCCUUAUUUUGUUGUUUAGUGGUUGCUAUCCGAUUAAGUGGGCCCAGGCAAAAGUAAAAGUGGCAAAGCACUAAACAACAAGAAAGAAUUCAAUGGCUCAUUGUGUCUCUGUAUUUGUUGCAAUCAAAGUCAGUGAGUGUGCAACACAUUAUCUAGAGUUGAUCGAUUCAAAUCUCAAAAAAA